AGGGUGAGGAAGGMGAACAUUGAGAAGGUGGAGGUGUGCAUGUUUCCUUCUUAAGAAGGGACUGGAAGGCAAAUGUGGUCCAAAACGAUUUCAGAGACCUCAGGACGGCUUAUGUUUUUGAUCUGAAGGAGGAGAGCUGUUUCUUCAGGGAAAGGCUGUUAGAAGGGUUGUUUGCUUUUUCUAUAUGUGUGUGUAUGUUUAAAUAGCGCACUUGAACUGAAAUAUUUUAAUAGUAAUAAGUUAGAUAAWUGUAUAAUAACAGCUGAAGGCACGA